UAUUACAGCCCCAGUACCAGUGGUUCCAAGCAGCAGUGCCAGUCAUGCAAAGUAUGAAUACAAAUACGAGGUAUCGGAUCACCAGACUGGAGAUAGGAAGAGUCAUUGGGAAAGCCGUGAUGGUGACAAAGUACGGGGUGUUUAUACUCUGUAUGAACCGGACGGCGCUCUCCGGACUGUGGAGUACACUGCCGACGCUUUGCAUGGAUUCAAUGCAGUGGUGAAAAGGAGUGAACCGAACCAGCACUCUCAUCUAGGUGCUGGGUACAAACACGAUUCUCCAGCCACUAGUAGUUACACCUCUUACGCUGAUCCCAGUCCAGGGUACACCUCAGAAAGAGGCGUAUUUCCAGGACAAGGCAGUGCUGCCAGACGUCCAGGGAAAGCCAGCGGUCACAACCCUGGAGUUGACUUUAGCGUAGUACAUGGACAUAACCCAGACAAAUCUUAUUGAAUGAACGAA